ACGGGUGAGUAACACGUGGGAACGUGCCCUUCGGUUCGGAAUAACUCAGGGAAACUUGAGCUAAUACCGGAUACGCCCUUAUGGGGAAAGGUUUACUGCCGAAGGAUCGGCCCGCGUCCGAUUAGCUUGUUGGUGGGGUAACGGCCUACCAAGGCGACGAUCAGUAGCUGGUCUGAGAGGAUGAUCAGCCACACUGGGACUGAGACACGGCCCAGACUCCUACGGGAGGCAGCAGUGGGGAAUAUUGGACAAUGGGCGCAAGCCUGAUCCAGCCAUGCCGCGUGAGUGAUGAAGGCCUUAGGGUUGUAAAGCUCUUUUGUCCGGGACGAUAAUGACGGUACCGGAAGAAUAAGCCCCGGCUAACUUCGUGCCAGCAGCCGCGGUAAUACGAAGGGGGCUAGCGUUGCUCGGAAUCACUGGGCGUAAAGGGCGCGUAGGCGGCCGAUUAAGUCGGGGGUGAAAGCCUGUGGCUCAACCACAGAAUUGCCUUCGAUACUGGUUGGCUUGAGACCGGAAGAGGACAGCGGAACUGCGAGUGUAGAGGUGAAAUUCGUAGA
rnacentral:rRNA from 1 species